rnacentral:ncRNA from 2 species
CUAUGGUCAUCUUGUCGUGGUUCCAUGCGCUUUUGGGCGUAUGGCUAAGAGGGAAGCCGGUGCGCCGUUAAGGCAAUGCCGGAGCUGCCCCCGCAACUGUAAACGGUGAGCUUUUGUCCAUUUGCCAUUGGGGGUAACUCCGAGAAGGCGGACAAGGGUCGUGACCCGUGAGCCAGGAGACCUGCCAUAGACCUCAUAUCCAU